UUCAUAAAUGUUAUGUCAUUCGACUUUCUCAAAAAUUGUGUGAGAUAGGAAGAGUGACUAUUAUUAUCCCCAUUUCACAAUGAGGAGACUAAGGUAGAGGAAGAAGUUAAUCAUCCAAGUAACAACUAGUAAGCAUUAAAGCUAGGAUUCAUACCAUGGUAACAUGUGGGUGUUAGCAUGUUUACUUGGGUGACCUGGUAGGGAGAUGCAGGAAGCAUCAUUAUUGAAAUGUGUUCAUAGUCUACACUAAGCCUAUGUCUACCUCAAACCCAUAAUAGUUAUGGACUGUAUUUUGGAAUACUAUUUUAAUGCUAGUGAAAUAGAGAUGUUCUACAUUGCAGAAGUAUUUUAUAAUGGGAAUCCCCAAAUUAUUCUGGAAAAUGGUAAAAGACAAAAGUUUCAGAAAUUUGUGCUGACCUUAAAAAAGAGGAAAUGAAUACCUAUAGAUGGCUUGAGAAAUUCAGAAAAAUAUUUCUGGACCGUGCAAUAGUGGUUUGUCCAGAAAAGGACCUUGGAGUUCCAGAGUCAUUUAAACCAUCUAGCAGCAUGAUGCCAAGCACAAUAGAAGCAUGUUUGCUCUGAGUGCUCAGUAUCAAGGUCAUGCUGGUAGACAGUUCUCCACGGGCUUCUCACAUUUCUACAUGUCUUAUGAGCAGAGGAACUAACUGACGUUAUUUCAUUCUAUUAUUUAAAAAAUGUUUGUACAGUGAACAGCCUUGGAAGAUGGAGAUACUGCCUCUCUCAGAGCAAAGGGCAGGCAUGCUUGCUGUUCACCAAAAAAAAUUCAGGUUCUGUAAGCUUGGAGUCUCUCUCCUAUAAUGCUUACUUUGUGUGCAGAUAGUCAAACUGGUGCAAGAAACUGCUGAAAAUGCUAGCUACUGCUGUUGCUAAGAGUAAUAAAGUCAAUGGUCUUUCUCCCAGGGAUGUCACAUCUUUUUCCAGCACCCAAGAAAGCAUGUUAAUUAUUAGCUGGCGAGUAGUUUUUGCAGGCAGUUCCUGACAGAUCACAGGGCAUCUCUCCACCCCAUGUAUAGUUUAAUGUAAACAAAAACAAAAAUAAAACCCAUAAAACAUUUAGAGUCCAUGCAUAUGAAGUUAGUUCUGAGUCUUUUGCAUUUCUAGCAGGAUAAUUCUGACAUUUUACAAUGAGCCCUUGUCUCUGGAAACUAGAUAGGUAGUUGGUGAAAAACAGUCUGCAAGUAAUGAUACUGCAGACAAUUUGGGAGCCUUCAGAUAAUUCAUUACGGAUCCUCCACUGCUGACUUCAGUUCCUUUAAGAUCAGCCAUGAGCAACCUGGGAUAUAAGUAUUUAGUAUGAGGAGCUGCUUUUACUUUUCCAUUUUGUUACUCAGCAUAUUUGGAAAUUAUUCUCACUGUUCCUCCCUAGGCUGAAUUUUUAUUCCUAACCCAGUGCUAAACUUCCAUUGCUACAUAGACUUCCAGUCAUGUUUGGAUGAUGAUUCUUGUCAAUGUAACCAUGUUGUCUCUUAAUUUUUUAUUAUAAUGAACCAGUAGCACAACAAAUCAUCUCUGAUGAGAUUUAUGCUCAUUGAAGAGUGGGAAUUUUUCUUUUGCAUUGUAGAUUAACUAAGGCCUAAUUAUGGGUAAGAAAGUUCUCCAAGUUUAGGCUGUCUUCUUGUUAAAGGUUAAGGUGAUUUUCUAAGACUUUACAUAGCCCAGUGAUUCUGAUGUUAUUUCUGUACCUGACCCCAUCAGACUUUUUAUUUAGGUUUACUCUUCUCAAGUUUUGUAGUUUAGUUUUGUUCUGUAUAUAUGUGCUUCACUUAUUCUUCUGCUCUCUUCCUUCUGAGCUCCCAGUAAGUCACCCAUUUGAAUUGGGGAGCUGGUCAACCUUGAUACCUUGCAGAAGCUCAAAAAGUAUUCUUAGAAAGAUUGAACGAAGGUAUCAGGUAUUUCGGGGGGCCUUUCACCAGAGCUCUUCAAUCUAACUAGAAUCUUGAAUGUCCAAUAAAAAUCCAUGGGAACAGGAAUAAUAGUGCUGCAAGUAAUAUGAUAUUAAUCAUAAUACCAACGUUGGCUGGGUGCUUACUAUAUGCCAGGUACUGUGCCAAGUGCUUUGAAUGUACUGCCUCAUAUAAUCCUUGCAAAAUUACUGUGUGAUUAUCAACAUUAUUGGAUAAAUAAAGGGACACAGAGAAGUUAUGUAAUUUUCUCAAAGUCACUCAGUGACAGAACUGAGUUCCCACCACCUUCUAAGAGCCAGGGGAAUCUGCUGAACAUAUUAGGUGAUUAAGAAAGAACAGGGAAGUUUUUAUUUUGGGUAAAUUUGAAUUAAAGCAACCAUAAAAAUGUCUUCUUUAUUUCAGAUUACAGAUGGGUCAUCAAUAAUACACUUGAAACCUUAGAAUCAGAGCUCACCUGGACAAACCUAACUUUUGUUGAAAGCAAGCCAUCGAUAUUUUGGUUCAACUCCUCAUUCACAAAUCUCCAUCUCAGAGCAAUUGCAUGAUUAAUGAAUUAAUUCUUUCAUUUAUUCUACAAAUAUUUAUCAAAACCUGAUGGUGAAUAGGACUGUCUCUAAAAAUUCCUUCCUUUUAGGGGAAGGAGAGCAUUCCUCAUGGCCCUGCCUGAGGCCAGAUGUUUACCCCAGGGAUUGGGAAAAGACAGAAGAGCCAGGAAGGAUGCAAGGUACAGGCUGAGGAGCCUUUCACUGAUGUACAGAGAGCAAUGCGAUAGACAGACUACUUACAUGAUUUACUGACAUUUGGCCUGCUUGGCUUCAUGCUGUGAUCUUGGUGGAGAACUUGCCUUGGGCUAGUUCUGAGCUACAAAUCCUCCACUCCUCUGCUUUGCCUUGUCUGGACCUCCGCACCACCAUGCCUCAGAUCCCUAAGACCCUGCUCUGAUCACCAGGCUGCUUGGCCUGCUCCUUUUGCUGGGACGGACAGACCUCUAGGAAGGGGUGGAUGAGAAGGCCAGUGACACCUAGAUCUGUGUCUCUGUCCUGCUGUCUCAUUUCACUAUUUUCUAAGUUUUCACUCUUCUUUGCAGGGACUUGCAAAUUUCCUUUAUAGGUUAGUAUGAAUAUAUCAUACUGUUAAGCCUCUUGUCCUGGCCUCAAAUCCUAAACACUUUUUUCUUUUUCUCAUGUGUUUGUUUGUUUAUUUAUUUAUUUUGGGAAGGGUAUUUUAUCUUUGGGACUUAUUUAUUAUGGGACAAGUAAUAAUUCCAGGUUAUAGAAGAGGGCAUUUCCAUAUUGCAACAUUAAGGGACUUGUCCAUCCUCAUUUAUUAUGGAGUAAUCAAGUAAAAAAGAACAAUAACUCCCAAAUUUGGUUUCUUAUUUGCGUAUGCACAAUCAAUCUUGUACAGAUCCUAUGAAUAUAUAUACACACAUAUAUAUA